GAAUCCCACAGGCCGUAAACCCAAGGUUUCCAGGGGAAGGUUCGUCCGCCCUGGGUUAGUCGGGACCUAAGCUGAGGCCGAAAGGCGUAGGUGAUGGACAACAGGUUGAUAUUCCUGUACUACCGAUAACCGUUUGAGAGAAGGGAUGACACAGUAGGAUAAGCUAAGCACACUGUUGGUUAUGUGUGCCCAAGCAUUGAGGCAGUCAAAGUAGGUAAAUCCGCUUUGAUAAUGCUGGGAUGUGAUGGGGAGCGAAAUUUAGUAGCGAAGUAGCUGAUUUCACACUGUCAAGAAAAGUCUCUAUCGAGGUUAAAGGUACCCGUACCGCAAACCGACACAGGUGGGUGAGGAGAGUAUCCUAAGGCCAGCGAGAGAACUGUUGUUAAGGAACUCGGCAAAAUGACCCCGUAACUUAGGGAUAAGGGGUGCCACCAUCAGGUGGCCGCAGAGAAUAGGCCCAAGCGACUGUUUACCAAAAACAUAGGUUUCUGCUAAGUCGCAAGACGAUGUAUAGGAGCUGACGCCUGCCCGGUGCUGGAAGGUUAAGGGGAUCUGUUAGAGCAAUCGAAGCAGUGAACUUAAGCCCCAGUAAACGGCGGCCGUAACUAUAACGGUCCUAAGGUAGCGAAAUUCCUUGUCGGGUAAGUUCCGACCCGCACGAAAGGCGUAACGAUUUGGGCACUGUCUCAACAACAGACUCGGUGAAAUUGUAAUUCCGGUGAAGAUGCCGGAUACCUGCGACAGGACGGAAAGACCCCAUGGAGCUUUACUGUAGCUUGACAUUGGGUCUUGGUACUACAUGUACAGGAUAGGUGGGAGGCUUUGAAACCAGGACGCCAGUUUUGGCGGAGCCAUCCUUGGGAUACCACCCUUGUAGUACUGGGACUCUAACCAUAGGCCAUGAAUCUGGUCUUGGGACACUGUCAGGUGGGCAGUUUGACUGGGGCGGUCGCCUCCCAAAAGGUAACGGAGGCGCUCAAAGGUUCUCUCAGUACGGUCGGAAAUCGUACGUAGAGUGUAAAGGCAAAAGAGAGCUUGAUUGCAAGACAUACAGGUCGAGCAAGGAUGAAAAUCGGACUUAGUGAUCCGGUGGUUCUGCGUGGAAGGGCCAUCGCUCAACGGAUAAAAGCUACCCUGGGGAUAACAGGCUUAUCUCCCCCAAGAGUCCACAUCGACGGGGAGGUUUGGCACCUCGAUGUCGGCUCAUCACAUCCUGGGGCUGUAGUAGGUCCCAAGGGUUGGGCUGUUCGCCCAUUAAAGUGGUACGCGAGCUGGGUUCAGAACGUCGUGAGACAGUUCGGUCCCUAUCCGUCGCAGGCGUAGGAAAUUUGAGAAGACCUGUCCUUAGUACGAGAGGACCGGGAUGGACG
rnacentral:rRNA from 1 species